UUUUGUUGUUGCUGGAA
rnacentral:sRNA from 1 species